UACGAAGGGGGCUAGCGUUGCUCGGAAUCACUGGGCGUAAAGCGCACGUAGGCGGAUUGUUAAGUCGGGGGUGAAAUCCUGGAGCUCAACUCCAGAACUGCCUUCGAUACUGGCGAUCUUGAGUCCGGGAGAGGUGAGUGGAACUCCGAGUGUAGAGGUGAAAUUCGUAGAUAUCGGGAGGAACACCAGUGGCGAAGGCGGCGACCUGGGCCAAUAUUGACGCUGAGGUGCGAAAGCGUGGGGAGCAAACAGG
rnacentral:rRNA from 1 species